rnacentral:snRNA from 1 species
GGAUGUGAGGGCAAUCUGGCUGUGACAUCUGUCACCCCAUUGAUUGCCAGGGUUGAUUCGGCUGAUCUGGGUGGCUAGGUGGGUAUCCCCUUCUUCCCUCAAUGCUCCACCUACCAUUCAUCCCUUCCGAAGCUGCACCCUUGCCCUCGGUCGAAGAGGAUGACCUUCCCCGAUAGAGGAGGACCGAUAGAGGAGGACUGGUCUUUGGUCAACGGUAUACAAGUGGCUGUGCUCCCCUGCUAGAACCUCCAAACAAGCUCUCAAGAAAGCAGUCUGAGCCGGGCAUGGUGGCCCACACCUUUAAUCCCAGCACUUGGGAGGCAGUGACAGGCGGAUCUCUGUGAGU